CCUACGGGAGGCUGCAGUGAGGAAUAUUGGUCAAUGGACGAGAGUCUGAACCAGCCAAGUAGCGUGAAGGAUGACUGCCCUAUGGGUUGUAAACUUCUUUUAUAUGGGAAUAAAAUGUUCCACGUGUGGGAUUUUGUAUGUACCAUAUGAAUAAGGAUCGGCUAACUCCGUGCCAGCAGCCGCGGUAAUACGGAGGAUCCGAGCGUUAUCCGGAGUUAUUGGGUUUAAAGGGAGCGUAGGUGGAUUGUUAAGUCAGUUGUGAAAGUUUGCGGCUCAACCGUAAAAUUGCAGUUGAAACUGGCAGUCUUGAGUACAGUAGAGGUGGGCGGAACUCGUGGUGUAGCGGUGAAAUGCUUAGAUAUCACGAAGAACUCCGAUUGCGAAGGCAGUUCACUGGACUGCAACUGACACUGAGGCUCGAAAGUGUGGGUAUCAAACAGGAUUAGAUACCCGAGUAGUC
rnacentral:rRNA from 1 species